GACGAACGCUGGCGGCGUGCUUAACACAUGCAAGUCGAACGGAAAGGCCCUGCUUUUGUGGGGUGCUCGAGUGGCGAACGGGUGAGUAACACGUGAGUAACCUGCCCUUGACUUUGGGAUAACUUCAGGAAACUGGGGCUAAUACCGGAUAGGAGCUCCUGCUGCAUGGUGGGGGUUGGAAAGUUUCGGCGGUUGGGGAUGGACUCGCGGCUUAUCAGCUUGUUGGUGGGGUAGUGGCUUACCAAGGCUUUGACGGGUAGCCGGCCUGAGAGGGUGACCGGCCACAUUGGGACUGAGAUACGGCCCAGACUCCUACGGGAGGCAGCAGUGGGGAAUAUUGCACAAUGGGCGGAAGCCUGAUGCAGCAACGCCGCGUGCGGGAUGACGGCCUUCGGGUUGUAAACCGCUUUCGCCUGUGACGAAGCGUGAGUGACGGUAAUGGUAAAGAAGCACCGGCUAACUACGUG
rnacentral:rRNA from 1 species